UCCGUAGGUGGGCUGAUAAGUCAGUGGUGAAAUCCCAGAGCUCAACUCUGGAACUGCCAUUGAAACUGUUGGUCUUGAAUUUAGUUGAGGUGGGCGGAAUACGUUAUGUAGCGGUGAAAUGCAUAGAUAUAACGUAGAACACCGAUUGCGAAGGCAGCUCACUAAACUAACAUUGACGCUGAUGGACGAAAGCGUGGGGAGCGAACAGGAUUAGAUACCCUGGUAGUCC
rnacentral:rRNA from 1 species